rnacentral:rRNA from 1 species
GACGGAGGGUGCUAGCGUUGUUCGGAAUCACUGGGCGUAAAGGGCGCGUAGGCGGCCGCCCGCGUCGGACGUGAAAGCCCGGGGCUCAACCCCGGAACGGCGUCCGAUACGGGGCGGCUCGAGGCCGGGAGAGGGGGGUGGAAUACCCAGUGUAGAGGUGAAAUUCGUAGAUAUUGGGUGGAACACCGGUGGCGAAAGCGGCCCCCUGGCCCGGUCCUGACGCUGAGGCGCGAAAGCGUGGGGAGCAAACGGG